rnacentral:tRNA from 1 species
GGAGAGGUCGCAUAGUGGUCUAUUGCACCGGUUUCGAAAACCGGCGCCCUCACGGGCUUCGUGGGUUCGACUCCCACCCUCUCCG